AGAGUUCGCCGGACAGUCGCUGUUUCUCUUAUUUGCACUUGUGUAAGUAAGCGGGAGGGAGGAAAGUCCGGGCUCCAAAGGGUAGAGUGCCAGAUAACGUCUGGGCGGUGUAAGCCGACGGAAAGUGCAGCAGAGAGCAGACCGCCUAAGUAUCUGAGGGUCAAGUAUCUUCGGAUAACGGUAAGGGUGAAAGGGUGCGGUAAGAGCGCACCGCAUGGGUGGCAACAUUCCAUGGCAUGGUAAACCCCACUCGGAGCAAGACCAAAUAGGGAUCCAUAUAGGUGUGACCCGCACCGGAUCCGGGUAGGUCGCUUGAGGCGUGCAGUGAUGUACGUCCCAGAUGAAUGACUGUCUAUUACAAAACCCGGCUUAUAGGCGGACUCUUACU
rnacentral:RNase_P_RNA from 2 species